GAUGAACGCUGGCGGCGUGCCUAAUACAUGCAAGUCGAGCGAACGGACGAGAAGCUUGCUUCUCUGAUGUUAGCGGCGGACGGGUGAGUAACACGUGGAUAACCUACCUAUAAGACUGGGAUAACUUCGGGAAACCGGAGCUAAUACCGGAUGAUAUUUUGAACCGCAUGGUUCAAAAGUGAAAGACGGUCUUGCUGUCACUUAUAGAUGGAUCCGCGCUGCAUUAGCUAGUUGGUAAGGUAACGGCUUACCAAGGCAACAAUGCAUAGCCGACCUGAGAGGGUGAUCGGCCACACUGGAACUGAGACACGGUCCAGACUCCUACGGGAGGCAGCAGUAGGGAAUCUUCCGCAAUGGGCGAAAGCCUGACGGAGCAACGCCGCGUGAGUGAUGAAGGUCUUCGGAUCGUAAAACUCUGUUAUUAGGGAAGAACAUAUGUGUAAGUAACUGUGCACAUCUUGACGGUACCUAAUCAGAAAGCCACGGCUAACUACGCG
rnacentral:rRNA from 1 species